AUGUGAUGCAUGCUUUAGAUUUUGACCCUCAUGCCUUUGCACAUUUCCAUGAUGAGUGAAAGAGAUGAAGGCGUAGUCAGGUCACUAUGCAAGUUAUGGAUGAGAAGUUUGGUUGUGCAGUUGCACGUAUUGUCCUGCCCCGACUAGUUAUGCAUACUAGAUACUAUUAUGGGGCAUUUUCUCAAAAUUGGUGAAGGUCUGAGCCCACCCAUUGGUUUUCAGUUAGCAUUCCCCAAGGGCCUAAAUUCAGCACCAGGAAGACCAAGAGUAGCUCCCAGCAGUCCUGUAAUUUUCGAAGUCACUUUGGAGUAUGUUCCAGGCCUAGACAAUGAGUAAACCUUGUGCUUCCAGUUCCAUCCACUUGUUCAGAGGAGUUAAAGAAAUGAGCUUGGAGAGCUUAAAUUUUUUUAAUCUGUAAGUUAUAUAAAGAUAUAAAAUAUGUGGGAAUAUUUCUUUCUCAUUUAAAUAUCCUACAAUUCUUCAGC